UACAGAGGGUGCGAGCGUUGUUCGGAUUCAUUGGGCGUAAAGGGUGCGUAGGUGGCGCCGUAAGUCGGGUGUGAAAUUUCGGAGCUUAACUCCGAAACUGCAUUCGAUACUGCGGUGCUUGAGGACUGGAGAGGAGACUGGAAUUCAUGGUGUAGCAGUGAAAUGCGUAGAGAUCAUGAGGAAGACCAGUGGCGAAGGCGGGUCUCUGGACAGUUCCUGACACUGAGGCACGAAGGCCAGGGGAGCAAACGGG
rnacentral:rRNA from 1 species